AUUCUCAGGCACUAACCAAAAUAUUGGAUGGGUCCAAAAGGGCAAAAAGCCACUAUUUUAUCAAGAAUAACAUUUUUGAGGGGACAACAGAGGUGUUUGGCCCUUAUCUCGAGGGUGGUAAUCACUGGACUUUUUUUCAUUGCAAUGUUGACAAAAGAUGUAUCACUUACUUUAACUCCUUUGGAGAGAUGGAGUGGCAGUGCCAAGCAAUUGCCCAACA